AUUUCUCUUCAGUGGUAUACAUUAUCAUACUUAUGUACAACCCUUGUCUUAGGCACAGUCUACUCUUCAAUUACUUUUGCUUGUCGUCAUCUUCCUGAUUUCAAUGUCAGGGUUAAUGACGGUCGAAGCAGGUGAUUUCACCCACAGUCCUCCCUGGUGUUGUGAAACAGAAAGUCCAUCCGGGAAAUGCCUGCUGAUGUGCAAGGGAUAAAAGUGGAGUGGCAUACGUCUAUGAGUUCCAGGAACAAUCCAUGGCAUUUAAAUAUUCAUUUUAAAAUACAAAGUCAUAUAAAUUCCAUGAAACUAUUUUUAUAAUUUGAACAUUUUAUGUGAAAAUAAAUAAUCAUAUUGAAUAGUCAAAAAUACAAUUUUAAAGGCGUAAGUAGACCUAUAUUAAUUGUUUUAAAAUAUAUUGGUUUCAUGGAAUUAAAAUAAUAGUUGUGAAAA